rnacentral:lncRNA from 1 species
CUGCUUUCAUGGGUAGAUGGUUGCUCCCUGAUGAAUGCUCGUCCUUGUCCAGCAAAUUAUAGAAAACGAGCUUCGAGGUAAUAGUUCUCUUUCGUAGCAACGUACCUUCGUUGACGCAAGUCCUUCCAGGAUUUAAAUAUCGGUGCUUGAUCCUCAGGCAGCAGAAUACAAUCCAGGACACCUCUCAGUCAAGUUCUUUGUCGCGACGGCCAUGCAAGUGUUACACUGCUCGGCGCUCAUGUCCCAUCGACACUCGCCCAGCCCGAAGACUCGCAACUUGCCGUCUCCAGAAGUGACAGUGGUGGAAGAUCCAUGACUAGACAACACCACCAUCGCGGAGUUUAUAUUCUGGCCAUACUGGGAGGAAGGAGCUACGCCGCUACAGUUUGCAAUAGGACGGAGAAGAAAGGAUGGUUAUCAUAGAUGAGGUAGCAACCGUAGAGGAGGAUCCGAGCUUCAAAGCUUCCGGGGCAGACCGACUUGGCGGCCUGGGCUGCGUCUUGGGCGCAGGUCCUGGCGGCACUGGAGGACUCCGUAACCUGUGAGUUUGCCAUCGCGGCUGGGAGCGGAGCUCCGGAAGUGACCGGUGAUGGGGGCAUUGGCGACGAGAACUGCGAGAAGAUCGUCGACAGCGGUGGAGUAAGAGGAAGAAGCGAUGGUGAUCUGGAGUGCUUCUCUCGGCACGAGGACUCGAUCAGUGUGGCAAGCGUUUGAUGGUGGUGGGAAGAAGAUGAAGCUUGUGAGGAGGAGCAUGGUGUGGAGGAGCGUCAUCUCAUUGCGUGACUAAAUUGGAGGACCAAAGAAUUUAACUUUGAAAGUUUUAAGAUUUUAGGGUUCUUUGCUCAUUCUCGUUAAAGGUUUUAACGAGUAGAUUUUAAAGAUUUUUAGGGUCUUCGAUCAUCGCGCCGAGGAGAUGCAUUGCGACGAGUGGAGUUCCUGGCUGCUGUAGCUGGAGUUUAGCGUGUCCGCCUUGAGCACUCCAUCGACGAGCUCUACCAUCGCCGGCCGCGACACUUUGCCCAGCUUGGCCUCUCCACAGAUCAUCGUCACGACUCGUGACAUGCUUGGG